UACAUGCAAGUCGAGCGAACUGACGAGGAGCUUGCUCCUUUGACGUUAGCGGCGGACGGGUGAGUAACACGUGGGUAACCUACCUAUAAGACUGGAAUAACUCCGGGAAACCGGGGCUAAUGCCGGAUAACAUAUCGAACCGCAUGGUUCGAUAGUGAAAGACGGUCUUGCUGUCACUUAUAGAUGGACCCGCGCCGUAUUAGCUAGUUGGUGAGGUAACGGCUCACCAAGGCAACGAUACGUAGCCGACCUGAGAGGGUGAUCGGCCACACUGGAACUGAGACACGGUCCAGACUCCUACGGGAGGCAGCAGUAGGGAAUCUUCCGCAAUGGGCGAAAGCCUGACGGAGCAACGCCGCGUGAGUGAUGAAGGUCUUCGGAUCGUAAAGCUCUGUUGUUAGGGAAGAACAAAUGUGUAAGUAACUGUGCACAUCUUGACGGUACCUAACCAGAAAGCCACGGCUAACUACGUGCCAGCAGCCGCGGUAAUACGUAGGUGGCAAGCGUUAUCCGGAAUUAUUGGGCGUAAAGCGCGCGUAGGCGGUUUUUUAAGUCUGAUGUGAAAGCCCACGGCUCAACCGUGGAGGGUCAUUGGAAACUGGAAAACUUGAGUGCAGAAGAGGAAAGUGGAAUUCCAUGUGUAGCGGUGAAAUGCGCAGAGAUAUGGAGGAACACCAGUGGCGAAGGCGGCUUUCUGGUCUGUAACUGACGCUGAUGUGCGAAAGCGUGGGGAUCAAACAGGAUUAGAUACCCUGGUAGUCCACGCCGUAACGAUGAGUGCUAAGUGUUAGGGGGUUUCCGCCCCUUAGUGCUGCAGCUAACGCAUUAAGCACUCCGCCUGGGGAGUACGGUCGCAAGACUGAAACUCAAAGGAAUUGACGGGGACCCGCACAAGCGGUGGAGCAUGUGGUUUAAUUCGAAGCAACGCGAAGAACCUUACCAAAUCUUGACAUCUUUUGACCACUCUAGAGAUAGAGUUUUCCCUCUUCGGAGGACAAAAUGACAGGUGGUGCAUGGUUGUCGUCAGCUCGUGUCGUGAGAUGUUGGGUUAAGUCCCGCAACGAGCGCAACCCUUGAGCUUAGUUGCCAUCAUUAAGUUGGGCACUCUAAGUUGACUGCCGGUGACAAACCGGAGGAAGGUGGGGAUGACGUCAAAUCAUCAUGCCCCUUAUGAUUUGGGCUACACACGUGCUACAAUGGACAAUACAAAGGGCAGCGAAACCGCGAGGUCAAGCAAAUCCCAUAAAGUUGUUCUCAGUUCGGAUUGUAGUCUGCAACUCGACUACAUGAAGCUGGAAUCGCUAGUAAUCGUAGAUCAGCAUGCUACGGUGAAUACGUUCCCGGGUCUUGUACACACCGCCCGUCACACCACGAGAGUUUGUAACACCCGAAGCCGGUGGAGUAACCAUUUGGAGCUAGGC
rnacentral:rRNA from 1 species